GCUUACGGCCAUACCAACCUGGCUAUGCCUGAUCUCGUCUGAUCUCGGAAGCUAAGCAGGUUUGGGCUUGGUUAGUACUUGGGAUGGGAGACCGCCUGGGAAUACCAGGUGCUGAAAGCU